ACGGAGGGGGCUAGCGUUGUUCGGAAUUACUGGGCGUAAAGCGUGCGUAGGCGGAUUAAUAAGUUAGAUGUGAAAUCCCAGGGCUCAACCCUGGAACUGCAUUUAAAACUGUUAGUCUUGAGUUCUGGAGAGGUAAGUGGAAUUGCUAGUGUAGAGGUGAAAUUCGUAGAUAUUAGCAGGAACACCAGAGGCGAAGGCGGCUUACUGGACAGAUACUGACGCUGAGGCACGAAAGUGUGGGGAGCAAACAGG
rnacentral:rRNA from 1 species